UGCCAGCAGCCGCGGUAAUACGAAGGGGGCUAGCGUUGCUCGGAAUUACUGGGCGUAAAGGAUGCGUAGGUGGAAUUUUAAGUGAGAUGUGAAAUACCCGGGCUCAACUUGGGUGCUGCAUCUCAAACUGGGAUUCUAGAGUGCAGGAGAGGAAAGCGGAAUUCCUAGUGUAGCGGUGAAAUGCGUAGAGAUUAGGAAGAACACCAGUGGCGAAGGCGGCUUUCUGGACUGUAACUGACACUGAGGCAUGAAAGCGUGGGGAGCAAACAGGAUUAGAUA
rnacentral:rRNA from 1 species